rnacentral:rRNA from 1 species
UACGUAGGGGGCAAGCGUUGUCCGGAUUUAUUGGGCGUAAAGAGCGUGUAGGCGGCCAGACAGGUCCGUUGUGAAAACUCGAGGCUCAACCUCGAGAUGUCGAUGGAAACCGUCUGGCUAGAGUCCGGAAGAGGAGUGUGGAAUUCCUGGUGUAGCGGUGAAAUGCGCAGAUAUCAGGAAGAACACCUAUGGCGAAGGCAGUACUCUGGGACGGUACUGACGCUGAGACGCGAAAGCGUGGGGAGCGAACAGG